UACGGAGGAUGCAAGCGUUAUCCGGAAUUAUUGGGCGUAAAGCGUCCGCAGGUGGUUUAUCAAGUCUGCUGUCAAAGCGCGAGGCUCAACUUCGUAAAGGCAGUGGAAACUGAUGAACUAGAGUUUGGUAGGGGUAGAGGGAAUUCCCAGUGUAGCGGUGAAAUGCGUAGAUAUUGGGAAGAACACCGGUGGCGAAAGCGCUCUACUGGGCCUGAACUGACACUGAGGGACGAAAGCUAGGGGAGCGAACGGG
rnacentral:rRNA from 1 species